GGUUGGAUGGUUGAAUGGAUGGUUGAGUGGUAGGGUGGAUGAUUGAGUGGGAGGAUGGAUGGUAGGAUGGAUGGUUGAGUGGUUGGAUGGAUGGAUGGAAGUGAGCCCCUCCUGUGCCCCAGGGGGCACUGUUGCAUUGGUGUUGGCUCCUCAGGACUUCCUGUGCGGUGGUUCAGCCUCCCCAUUGGGACCUUCCUCGUGAUUGGUGCUCCUUAACUUCUAUGAAGUUGCGCACCCUCACGCUUAUUCUCACUUGCAUUGGUCACGGUUCUGGGGGGCAGGGUCUCAGCCGGGAGACCGUCCGCGAUUGGAGGGGCAGAAAGGUGGCGGAGUGUAGACCUGUAGACCAAUCCCAGUUGUCUCAGAGGAACCUGAAGGAUGUUUCACCUGACAGAUCCAGCCUUGCGUUCGCUCUCGUCAUCAUCAUCAUCUUCCUCUCAAGAAUGGCUCGCCACACUGAUUCCUGCCCUCUGAUUGGUUAACUUUCAGAGCAGGGGCCUGGUGUGGGGUGCGGAGCUCCAACGGUUAAAGGGUUAAAGCUACAGGACAGGCAGGGGUGGGUCUGGAACACAGGCUCACCUGAUGGGGGUGGAGUUUAGAACACAGGCACCUAGCUCAGCAUUACUCUAGCAGGGGAGGGGAGGUGUGGGGGGGUUGGGGUAUGGGCGGAGGCUCGCGGGCAGAGCCACUCAGACGGAUGACAGCUGUAGUAAACACCUGGGUCAAACACAGUUAGGCUGUGCUUGAUUUAAAUAUCUCGCUCACCCACCACACUGAUACUAGUGGAACCGCCCAUCGGAGUGCUGCUUUUGAGUUAAAUCAAGUGCACCUCCCAGCAUGUGGCGCAUGUGUGAGACUCUAGUUGUGGGUGGAGCUUCUGUGGCUAGCCCCGCCCCAUUCCCCAGAAGCCUCUGGGGCCCACUGCCUGAAGCAUACGUGAUUUAGGUACACUCUCUAUACAUAUGAGUAUGUAUUCAUAUAUUAAUAUACUAAAGCACUGUGAUCGUGCCUCCUAGUACUCUACUCACUUUGCAUUUAUAUUAAAUGAUCUCUACUUAGAAUCUGCUAAAUGGUAUUACUUUUGUUAUUCUCCUUUUUUUUAUUUUUUUUUAUUAUUUCUCUUCCUGCCCACUGGUUGCCAACACAGAACUUUAUCCUUUCGCAGUUGAAGGAACUCUGUGCACAUUAAUGUGUUCACUUAAUCUUUUUGUGUUAAAACAAAGAAAUGUUCUUUUCAAGACGAUAUGCUUCCGACGACGAAGACAAAUUUAAUAAUAAUGAUAAAUUGAUGAUAAAGUUUUUGUUUUGGUUGUGUUUGUGUGUGUGCUAGGUUGUGUUGUAGGAACUGUACCUUUGGCUGUGUUUGUGUCGUACGAGGUGAGCUGGGCUGAGAGGGAACUGCUGGUGGGGUCAUUUUUUUUAAGAGUUUUUAAGAGUCAGGAUUGGCCUUAUGUCUCCUAGGAGCUACCCCGUUACACCACCACCCCUCUGCCCAUGCCCCAUCACCCCCUGCCCCCCCCCCCCAUAACUCCCUGCCCCAUCACCCCUCUGUCCCUGCCCCAUCACCCCUUGCCCCCCCAUCACCCCCUGCCUAACUCGCAACCCACUCCUCAUGGUGGUAGUUACCAAGCUAUGCUAACCUGUCCUAGCUACCUUAUUGGUCCCAGCUAUGCUAAAUUGUCUUAGCUAUGCUAACCUUUUCUAGCUAGCUAAUAUGGUGUAGCUACGCUAACUUGGCCAAGCUGGCUAAUCUGUCCUAGCUACAUUAACAUGGGCCCCAGGUUGAUGUCUCGGAACAGGAAGUCUUGAGUGGCGUCUCCAGCCUCUCCUUGUGUUGUCAUGCUCCUCCCCUCUCCUCCCUUCUCCCUCCCUCCCGAUCCAGCCAAUCGCCUCUCUCCCUUCCCUCUCCCUCCCAAUCCAUGCAGCCAAUCACCUCUCUCCCUUCCCAGAAACAUGAAACUGUUAGUUUGGCCCCUCUUAUUUGGAUUCCGCUGAACACACGAAUGGCUUUUUAUAUGAUGAUAUUCCCGUGUAAGAUAUCUCUUAAAUUAAGGUACAGGUUUGAUUUCAGCGAGAAAAAUAAAACGUUUUUUAUAUGUAUAUUAUUAUACUCCAUUAAGGAAUGUAUAGACUUAUCUUCCUACAAUGUGGAUGUAGCCAUUACUACGCCAUUCUAUGACUUUGUAAGAGAAUUCACUGUGUGAAAAUUGGUUUGCAUUUUUGUAUAAUACAAUCUGCUUGUUUUUGUUUAAUACGAGAGAAAGCGGUCAAACGGGACGUUUGAAAAGGAUUUAAAAAAAGAUGUACCUGUGAAAUUUGAGGAAAUAAAAUGUAACUUAUGUACAACAGUGAUUCUGGUCUGAUAGGGAUGGAUUAAAUGAUAUUGCUAACUCUG